rnacentral:pre_miRNA from 1 species
ACAGGAAGCAUCUGGAAAUCUUGUUAAAAUGCAGAUUCUGAUUCAGCAGGUCCAGAGUGGGGCCUGAGACUCUGCAUUUGUACUAAGCUUCCAGGUGAUUCCAAU